rnacentral:rRNA from 1 species
UACAUAAAUAAUUACCAUAAAGUCUUAUUUUUUUUCAGAACAACGUCUAAUACAUACUUUAAAGCAGGGGUAUCGCCUUUCUGGUCCUUUCGUACUAAAAAAAGCUAAUUUUAAUCGUGGAUAGAAACUGACCUGG